rnacentral:sRNA from 1 species
GACUCCGGUGCACUUCUGUCGUCACACU